AGACAGUAUCUGUGAAUGGAAGGUUAAGGCACAGCCAUCCAUCUUCUGACGCCCAGGAAGGUGGCUACACGUUUCGCUGCCAUACUGCACUUCCCUGAUUCCACUUCACAGAGCAGCCUCACCCCAGCAGAGAAUGAAUUAUCAAGUGUGCAGGACCAGUGAUGCAGGUGGUAACAAGAAUUUACCCAGGCCAGGAAAAGAGUAAAGAUAAGGGUUUACUCAGCCCAGAGUCCACUGCCUAGGGGGGCACCAGUUUCUUACAGCUGAUAGGAUCUGGAACAAUGCAAACCCUGAGGAGAGUGGAGUCACCUGAGAACUAAGUGGGCACAUGAGACCUCUGGUUGCCCUGUUUUCACAGUAUCCUCUUCAUCUUCCCUUCACCUUCAAGGAGUUUCAGAAAUAGCUGUUUCUCAGCAUGGUACUGGCAAAGAAACAGACCUGAGGACCAGUGGAACAGAUUAGAAGAUGCAGAAACAACUCCAGACACACUCAGCCAUCUCAUCUUUGAUAAAGGAGCCAAACACCCUCACUGGAGGAAAG
ensembl:lncRNA